rnacentral:rRNA from 1 species
UGAGGAAUAUUGCGCAAUGGGGGAAACCCUGACGCAGCGACGCCGCGUGGAUGAUGAAGGCCCUUGGGUCGUAAAAUCCUGUCAGUUGGGAAGAAAUGCAUAUUGGCUAAUACCCAUUAUGUUUGACGGUACCAGCAAAGGAAGCACCGGCUAACUCCGUGCCAGCAGCCGCGGUAAUACGGAGGGUGCAAGCGUUGUUCGGAAUUACUGGGCGUAAAGCGCACGUAGGUGGUCUAUUAAGUCAGAUGUGAAAGUCCCUGGCUCAACUGGGGAAGUGCAUAUGAAACUGGUAGACUUGAGUACUGGAGGGGGAAGUGGAAUUCCCGGUGUAGAGGUGAAAUUCGUAGAUAUCGGGAGGAAUACCGGUGGCGAAGGCGACUUCCUGGCCAGAUACUGACACUGAGGUGCGAAAGCGUGGGUAGCAAACAGGAUUAGAUACCCUGGUAGUCCACGCCGUAAACGAUGUCAACUAGGUGUUGGGAGGAAUAUCCUCUCAUUGCCGCAGCUAACGCAUUAAGUUGACCGCCUGGGGAGUACGGUCGCAAGAUUA